rnacentral:rRNA from 1 species
CCUACGGGGGACAGCAGUGAGGAAUAUUGGUCAAUGGGCGCGAGCCUGAACCAGCCAAGUAGCGUGAAGGAUGACUGCCCUACGGGUUGUAAACUUCUUUUAUAUGGGAAUAAAAUGAGGUAUGAAUACCCUCUUGUAUGUACCUUAUGAAUAAGGAUCGGCUAACUCCGUGCCAGCAGCCGCGGUACUACGGAGGAUCCGAGCGUUAUCCGGAUUUAUUGGGUUUAAAGGGAGCGUAGAUGGGUUGUUAAGUCAGUUGUGAAAGUUUGCGGCUCAACCGUAAAAUUGCAAUUGAAACUGGCAGUCGUGAGUACAGUAGAGGUAGGCGGAAUUCGUGGUGUAGCGGUGAAAUGCUUAGAUAUCACGAAGAACUCCGAGUGCGAAGGCAGCUCACUAGACUGCCACUGACAGUGAUGCUCGAAAGUGUGGGUAGCAAACAGGAUUAGAUACCCCUGUAGUC